AUUGAACGCUGGCGGCAGGCCUAACACAUGCAAGUCGAACGAGUGGCGGACGGGUGAGUAAGGUCUGGGAAACUGCCUGAUGGAGGGGGAUAACUACGGGAAACGGUAGCUAAUACCGCAUACCAUGAGAUUUGCCCAGGUGGGAUUAGCUAGUCGGUGGGGUAACGGCUCACCUAGGCGACGAUCCCUAGCUGGUCUGAGAGGAUGACCCGCCACACUGGAACUGAGACACGGUCCAGACUCCUACGGGAGGCAGCAGUGGGGAAUAUUGCACAAUGGGCGAAAGCCUGAUGCAGCCAUGCCGCGUGUAUGAAGAAGGCCUUCGGGUUGUAAAGUACUUUCAGCGGGGAGGCGUUACCCACAGAGGAAGCACCGGCUAACUCCGUGCCAGCCGCCGCGGUAAUAC
rnacentral:rRNA from 1 species